CAGCCGCCGCGGGAAUACGGGGGGGGCAAGUGUUAUUCGGAAUGACUGGGCGUAAAGGGCACGUAGGCGGUCUGUUAAGUCAGAUGUGAAAUCCCCGGGCUCAACCUGGGAACUGCAUUUGAAACUGGCAGGCUUGAGUCUUGUAGAGGGGGGUAGAAUUCCAGGUGUAGCGGUGAAAUGCGUAGAGAUCUGGAGGAAUACCGGUGGCGAAGGCGGCCCCCUGGACAAAGACUGACGCUCAGGUGCGAAAGCGUGGGGAGCAAACAGGAUUAGAUACCCCUGUAGUCCCUGUCUCUUAUAC
rnacentral:rRNA from 1 species